CGGGGAAGAAUUUUUUGAUAUAUAUAUAUAUAUAUUCUUACUUAUAUAUGUAUAAUACAAAAAUAUGUUUAAUAAAUGUUUAUCUAUAAGAGACACAACUAAACUAUUGUUUGAUCUUGAGAACACAACAAAAAUAAGAUAAUUAUAUUCAAACAUACUAAAGUAAUUUCAUAAUCUAAAGUAUUAUAUAAAUAUAUUGUUUCAUUUGAAUUUUUAUCAUCUAUAUCAUUUAUAAACCAGAAAACACAAGAUUACAAAUUACUAAAUUUUGAUAAAGCCCAUCUAAAGUCCAGUUAAAAUCUAUUUUUUCAUGUUAUAACUAAAGUGCACCUAAACGAUAGCAAACACGGUUACGCGGCCGCGUUUUUGAACAAGGAUUUAAACAUAUAUUAAUUAAUAGAAAGGUUGAUUGUGGUGACUUAUUAAAAUUAAGGGUUCUUUCCUUCUUCUUUUUUCGUGACCACAAUCCUUAAUUUCCAAAAUCAACUAAAUCUUUAAAAAAUUUCAGAGAGAAAGAAGACGAAUCUCUUGAAGAUUUGGAAAAAAAAAUUGAUGAUGCAGAGGAAGAAGCUUGCAAUGAAAAGGGCUAAAACGCACCGUGAAGAUUCCAAUGCAGAGAAUGCGAGUGAUGAAGAGAGUGGUGACGAUGAGACGAAACCUUAUCCAUUGUCUUCCCGCGAAGGUAAAGCGCAAAGAGUUGUUUUCAAAUAGUGUCGACAGUGAAGAGCUUAUGGCAUUAGGAAAUACAUUUAGGUCGACCAAUGUUUCACUAUGCGGAGGAACCAACACAAAUACUUUCCCAAGGUAUUUCUCAAGAACAAUCACAAGCUUGAUCAAGUGUUCUAUCGGUUAUAAUGGCUCACGGUCUACAUCUCUUUUGUUAUGUAAUGAGUCCGAACUUCUAUGUCUUUUGUUGUGUCAUGAGUCUUUUGUUAUGUAAUGGUUAACAAUUCUUAACUCUUUUGUUAUGUAAUGCUUCAAAACUCUAUGUCAUAUCUUCUUUGUUAUGUAUUGGUUCUAUUAAUGGUUCACAAUC